rnacentral:SRP_RNA from 10 species
UCCUGGGGCAGUGGCACAUGCCUGUAGUCCCAGCUACUUGGGAGGCUGAAGCAGGAGGAUAGCUUAAGUUCAGGAGUUCUGGGAUGUAAUGCACUAUGCUGAUAGGGUGUCUGCACUAAGUUCAGCAUCAACAUGGUGACCUCCCAGGAGCAGGGGACCACCAGGCUGCCUAAGGAGGUAUGAACUGGCCGAGAUCAGAAACGGAGCACAUAAAAACUUGCAUCUUGAUCAGUAGUGGGAUUGCGCCUACAAAUAGCCACUGCACUGCAGACUGGGCAACAUAGUGAGACCUUGUCU